AUGUUGGAUGUCGUUCUGCACAAGACGGUGAUUCUAGGAGAGGAGGAGCAAGCUAAGGUGGCUGAGAUAGUCAUAGCGAGCAAUGAUAUGGAGCAUAUUGAGGUGGCCGUGCCUGAUGGUUUGGUUGGAGAGGUGCCUCCCUUCGUCCCCUCUUCAGUGAAGCUUGCUUCAGGGGGCACUACCAAUAUGAUGUCUUCUGGGUCCGAGGAACCACUUGGUGAUAUUGGCGUGCCAUCAACUACCUUGUUGGAUGAGUUCCUAAGCAGUUUCAGUUGCGCGGUACCAUGUUCCUUGCUCGAGGAACCGAUUCAUGUGCAGAUUGAAGGGGCAUCUUCUUGUUCCGAGAGGCGUAGUUGA
rnacentral:rRNA from 1 species